rnacentral:rRNA from 1 species
UUCAGAUUGCAGGCUGCAACUCGCCUGCAUGAAGUCGGAAUUGCUAGUAAUCGUAGGUCAGCAUACUACGGUGAAUACGUUCCCGGGCCUUGUACACACCGCCCGUCAAACCAUGAGAGUUGGCAACACCCGAAGUCGGUAGUCUAACCGCAAGGAGGACGCCGCCGAAGGUGGGGUUGAUGAUUAGGGUUAAGUCGUAACAAGGUACC